rnacentral:SRP_RNA from 2 species
GCCGGGCGUGGUGGCGUGCGCCUGUAAUCCCAGCUACUCAGGAGGCUGAGGCAGGAGAAUCGCUUGAACCCAGGAGGCAGAGGUGGCGGUGAGCCGAGAUCAUGCCACUGCACCCCAGUCUGGGCAACAGAGUGAGACUCCGUCUCCA